rnacentral:snRNA from 1 species
GUGCUUGCUUGGGUAGCACAUAUACUAAAAUUGGAACGAUACAGAGAUUAGCAUGGCCCCUGCACACGGAUGACAUGCAAAUUUGUGAAGCGUUCCAUAUUUUG